rnacentral:lncRNA from 1 species
UUUAUUUUUAUUUAUUUAUUUUUUGAGACAGGGUCUCUUUCUGUCAUCCAGGCUGGAGUACAGUGGCACAACCACAGGUCGCUGCAGCCUAGACCUCCUGGGCUCAAGCAGUCCUCCCAUCUCAACCUCCCUAGUAGCUGGGACUACAGGCAUGUGCCAUCAUGCCCAGCUAAUUUUUGUAUUUUUGGUAAACACAGCAUCUCAGCAUGUUAUCCAGGCUGAUCUCGAACUCCUGGGUUCAGUCUGCCUGCCUCCGCCUCCCAAAGUGUUGGGAACCACCAUGCCCACCCUUAUUAUUGCUUUUUAGUAAGUUUUUUUUUUUUUUUUUUUCCAUUUGGUUGGUUGGUUUGGUUUUUGUUUUGUUUUGUUUUGUUUUGUUUUUGAGACUGAGUCCUGCUCUGCUGCCCAGCCUGGAGUACAAAGACGUUAGCACUUUGGGAGGCCAUGGCAGGAGGAUUGCUUGAGCUCAGGAGUUGGAGACCAGCCUGGGCAACAUAGCUAAACCCUGGCUCUACAAAAAAAAAAAAAUUAGGCAAGCAUGGUGGCACACUCCUGUAAUCCCAGCUGCUCCAGAGGCUGAGGUGGGGGGAUUGCUUGAGCCUGAGAGGUAGAGGUUGCAAUGAACCAAGAGCACGCCACUGCACUCCAGCUUGGGAAACAGAGCCAGACUGUGUCUCAAAAAAAAAAAAAAAAAUCUUGCUUAUAGUGAAAAACAUACAAAUUAAAUCUACACUGAGACACCAUUUCUCACUAUCAGUUUGGCAAAAACUCAAAAGCUUGAUUAUAUGCAUACUCUUGGCAAGUAUGUGAAGAAUAUAUACUCUCAUACAUUGAGAAGAAUAAUAUACCAGGUAGAAUUAAAGGACUCACUCUGUUGCUGCCCAGGCUGGAGUGCAGUGGCGCAUCUCCGCUCACUGCAAGCUCCACCUCCCUGGUUCACGCCAUUCUCCUGCCUCAGCCUCCCUAGUAGCUGGGACUACAGACGCCCGCCACCACGCCCGGGUAAUUUUUUGUAUUUUUUUUAGUAGAGACGGGGUUUCACCGUGUUAGCCAGGAUGGUCUCGAUCUCCUGACCUCGUGAUCCGCCCGCCUCGGCCUCCCAAAGUGCUAGGAUUACAGGCGUGAGCCACCGCGCCUGGCGGACUUUUCUUAAAACUGAUGCAAAAAUAAUUCUUAUGUGUAAGAGAUUAGAUCAUUACUGGCCUUAAUUUCUGAACUCUUGGAAAAAUUAAACACCUCACAAUAAAUGAAGCAUCAAAACAGUAUUUCCCUGUGUUACCAUUGAACAGUAGCAAGAGCUUACUGCUGCAGUUAGAAAAAGGAUUCAUAGAAACAGUGAAAGGUAUAGAUUGACCAGCUAUCUAAAGUAAUUCUAUAGCAAGGAUUACAGUGAAGAAACAUGGAGCAAUUAGAUGUUUUUUCUGUUAUAUUUACUCCAGUUGAUUGUUUAAGUCUCAUAAUCUUAUGUGCCAGAUGGAGGAGUAUUGGCUGAAUAGACCAUCAGUGGGUACAUUUUAGUUGAUUAAAUAGCCAAACCAUAUUGGAGGAUGGUUCUCUUAGGUCUCCAGUGUUUUGUAGAGACUAAUUUUUAAUCACUGAGUGAUGAAGCCUUGAAGAGAUGCUUACGAACUUUACAGUUAGCAUAAAGCCAGGGGGGUGUUUCAACCAUUAUGGAUGUUAAACUAAGGAUUAUUAAAGAUCAGACCAGGCACAGUGGCUCACGCCUGUAAUCCCAGCACUUUGGGAGGCUGAGACGAGUGAAUCAUUUGAGGUCAGGAGUUCAGGAUCAGCCUGGCCAACACAGUGAAACCCUGUCUCUACUAAAAAUACAAAAAAAAUGAGCCGGGCUUGGUGGCGUGCGCCUGUAAUCCCAGCUACUCAGGAGGCUGAGGCAGGAGAAUCCCUGGAACCCAGGAGAUGAAGGUUGCAGUGAGUUGAAAUCAUGCCACUGUACUCCAGCCUGAGCAACAGAGCGAGACCCUGUCUCAAAAAAAAAAAAAAGAAAGAAAGAUUGUUAAAGAUCUACUUUGGUAAAAUGUGAAGGAAUUAAACAUUCCAGUUAAAAGGCAGAGAGUGUCAGACUGAAUUU